rnacentral:rRNA from 1 species
GGCGCACGCUGGCGGCGUGCCUAAUACAUGCAAGUUGAGCGCUGAAGGUUGGUACUUGUACCAACUGGAUGAGCAGCGAACGGGUGAGUAACGCGUGGGGAAUCUGCCUUUGAGCGGGGGACAACAUUUGGAAACGAAUGCUAAUACCGCAUAAAAACUUUAAACACAAGUUUUAAGUUUGAAAGAUGCAAUUGCAUCACUCAAAGAUGAUCCCGCGUUGUAUUAGCUAGUUGGUGAGGUAAAGGCUCACCAAGGCGAUGAUACAUAGCCGACCUGAGAGGGUGAUCGGCCACAUUGGGACUGAGACACGGCCCAAACUCCUACGGGAGGCAGCAGUAGGGAAUCUUCGGCAAUGGACGAAAGUCUGACCGAGCAACGCCGCGGGAGGGAAGAAGGUUUUCGGAUCGUAAAACUCUGUUGGUAGAGAAGAACGUUGGUGAGAGUGGAAAGCUCAUCAAGUGACGGUAACUACCCAGAAAGGGACGGCUAACUACGUG